rnacentral:rRNA from 1 species
UACAGAGGUCCCAAGCGUUGUUCGGAUUCACUGGGCGUAAAGGGUGCGUAGGUGGCGGGGAAAGUCUGAUGUGAAAUCUCCAAGCUCAACUUGGAAAUGGCAUUGGAAACUACCUUGCUAGAGGAUUGGAGGGGAGACUGGAAUUCUUGGUGUAGCAGUGAAAUGCGUAGAUAUCAAGAGGAACACCAGUGGCGAAAGCGAGUCUCUGGACAAUUCCUGACACUGAGGCACGAAAGCUAGGGGAGCAAACAGG